rnacentral:lncRNA from 1 species
AAAAAAUAUAUAUAAAGAAAAGAAAGUUCAUACAUUUUUCUUAUGAUGAAAUUAGGGUUUGCUCGAUGAAUUUUGUGAUGAACUUUCUUAUAUAAAAGAAAACUCUACCACACCUUCACAAAAUUCAUUAUAAGAGCAAACCCUAACUUAUAUAAAAGAAACUUCAUGCAAUUUUCUUAUGUUCUUUUUUAAAAAUUUAAAUAAUCCACAUAUUUGUGAAGCUAAAUAAUAUUAUAGGUACUUGGGUUACACUAUUUGAUCGCGUGGAAUCUCCAUCUCCAAUAUUCAAGAGAAUUGUAAAUUAAAUUGGUUGAAAAAUAAAAUAUAACAAUAUUAUCAUAUAUAGAAUUAGUUAUGGGCUUCAAAGUAAAACAAUUAUUUUCCAACUUUUUUCCAUGGUUAAUGCAUCCAAAAUCAAGAGAGAGAAAAACCAUAUUAUUUCAUUUCAUUACAAAUAUUUUAGUGUACAAAAUAAAGUUGCAAGAUGCGUGAAAUUAAGAAAUCAAGAGAUAAAAAUAUAAUUAUUAGUUGCUACAUGUAGAGCUCAUUCUUCUCUACAUUUGGCAUUUUUUGCGAACAACAUGACAUCGGCCGUUCAUGCAUUCUAAACAUCCUUGAAUAGCAAGUAAUUUAAAACAAUCAUUAUUAGAUUUACAUCUGGCGAAUGUUUUAAUUGGAUAGCUGGCAAUCUCCUUUGUAGUAAGAAAUAGGAAAAUAAAUAAAAUUAUAGCGGAAAUAAACUUGAGGGUUUUAGCCAUUUUAUUUUCCUCUUCAUUUGUAAAAUGGGAUACAAUUUGAUCAAUUUAUAGUGUAUAAAAUUUUGAAACAUUAACAAUAAUAAAAUAUUUUUAACACAAAAGUUGUUUAAUGGUUUGUAUUUGCCCCUUUAGAACGCUUAGUAAAUGUCUCUUCAAUAGAAUAAUGUGUUGAGUUUUUUCCUUAAACACACUUGGUGAAUAUAGGUAAUAUAAAAUACUUUCUGAUCAUUUAAAUUCAUUAUUUUUUAAGUUAAUUAUAAGUGUUUGGUCUCUGUAGGUAUAUUAAAUUUUGUUAUUUU